rnacentral:rRNA from 1 species
CAGCCGCCGCGGUAAUACGAAGGGGGCUAGCGUUGCUCGGAAUGACUGGGCGUAAAGGGCGCGUAGGCGGUUGCACAGUCAGAUGUGAAAUUCCUGGGCUUAACCUGGGGGCUGCAUUUGAUACGUGCGGACUUGAGUGUGAAAGAGGGUCGUGGAAUUCCCAGUGUAGAGGUGAAAUUCGUAGAUAUUGGGAAGAACACCGGUGGCGAAGGCGGCGACCUGGUUCAUGACUGACGCUGAGGCGCGAAAGCGUGGGGAGCAAACAGGAUUAGAGACCCGAGUAGUCCCUGUCUCUUAUACC